AAAAAGAUCAAAUCAAUCCUGCGUCGGCAGCGGGAUUCCUAAACGAGCGAUACCGGCGUGGACGACGGUUAAUUUGAUCUUUGAGAAGCGCGCGCUCUCUAGGGACUUUCGGUAAGGCGUCUGGGCGCAUGCGCAGUAGCCACCACGUAUACGAUCCGACCCAACAGAACGCGCUGUCCUGUCAACACACCGACGGAAUCCUGUCGAGACUUGUGAUUUUCGGUUACGGCUCUCGUGCGUCGCGUUUGUCUCUCUCCGGGAAUCACGAGAGACGCCGUUGUGUGUUGUACGUAAAAUUCUCGUGACUGCAAGUUCGCAGCAGUGUGCUCGCACGUACGUACGAACGUUAACGGGCUUGCGUGUCUACUGCAACGCUCACGCGAGAGGUUAUGAGUGAUUUUGUUAACCGCACGUACUCGAGUGAAUAUGCUUUCGCAUUUUACGAAGUAAAUUGAUGACGCUCGUUUAAGGGGGCUCGAUGAUCUGAAGUUUGCUUCGAUUUUAACUCUACGCGAUGGAUAUUAACGUAUUACCAGCACGGUUGGCAGUACUUGUUACUGGAAUAAUGGCCGAUUUACUACCGUCCAUUUAUCAUUCAGUGUGUGUUACGUGUGUACGUAUGCAAUACGUAUACGGCGGUAGAAUUUAUCGGCGGGGCCUCGAUACUUUGAUGACUUUAUCGACGCAACUUUCUAAAUGGAUGAUCGAGAAAUGAACGCUGGGUACAAUGCAGGCUUGCGUGUUUAUAAAUUUCAGUUUUCUCAAUUGACCCUCGUGUGCUGCUUUUCGUUUGUCGUAAUUCACACUGAGUGUUCGCUCAUUGAUUUUUCAGUAUGUAUAGCUCUUUUUUAAUAUGACAAGGUGCAUAUACAUAAACAAGGAUACAAUGAUGGCAGUUACUGGCAGCCAAUUUUGGAACACAUUGAUUUUCGUUUUUGCAUCAGGAUAUACGUGAUAACGGAAGAGACUGUGAUAUAUCGAAAUGAAUAAAUGGAUCAGCGAUCAUUAAUCAACGAUCUAAGGUCCGAUCGAUUCUAUUCUUGAAUAUAAUUUUUCUUUUCUAGUCCAAGACAUAACCUAUAUUUUUUUAAACAUUUUCGCCCACAUCAAUUAAUCUUUUUGACAUGUGCUCCUCGUACUCUAUGAUGUGUAGGCGAACGAAACGAUUAUAGAUAAUUCCAUAAACGACAAAGAAAAACGUACCUCGACGCUGAUAAAUGCGACUCGUCAAAUUAUUUUUUUUAUGCCAAAACUUUUUUCUUUCUUUAAUGCCCACACGGAACCCCGGACAAUAUUUUUCGCUUUCACGGCAAAUCCACCAAUUGCCGCUUAUCAAGUAACGACGCCAGAGCCGUACUCUUCAACUUUCGACGUAUCGGCCGGACAACGCUCGACAUUACCUGUACAAGAAUAUCCAAAAUAAUUCAACUCCAAUAAAAUUCUGUGCGCGUGGCGUCAAACACAAAAAAAAGUCACUCAAGACCGUCGCGUCUGCUCGAGUCACAGAUCAACUUACAAAGCAAUAAUGAUCAACGGAAAAUAAUAACAAUCCAUUAUCAGCAUAGAAACUCAAAUAUCACUGAUAUUAUUGUAUGCGGAAUCUUUGGUCGAAAAUGGGAGUCAAAUCUAUCUAAGGUUACAGGACGUAAUUGGCAAUUUUCUUUUUUUUUUCAGUAUUGUGUUUUUUUUAUAUAUCAAAAUCUGCGCACGCGCGACAAACUGUCGUCUAUUAUCGUCUACGCGCUUUAUGUACGUGGGCGCGUAGUACUAUUUACGUGCACACAUUCACGCAUGACGAAUAUUCCGGAAUUGCAUUACGCACCGUAAUUGCUACCGACUCGAUAUAUACUCGCACGCGACAGUAGUAGUUUACAGUGGUAUUCCUGGCGGCAAAUUAUUUGCUGUGUGGGUAUAAUCCACGCGGGAUUCUGCAUUGAAGCAAUGUUUAACGAAAUUCCCUCGGAUGCACUGCCAAUCCGUAUAUUCGCGUGUCCAUUGAAAUUGUACACAUAGGUAAACAAGCGUGUAGCUAAUGUUUGGCAACAAUUUUGAAAAUUUAACACUGCCAAAAUUUCCCUCUCUACGUACCAAGCGCCAAUAGCCGUUUCUAACGUACAAGUGCCCUUGCGAAAAAUACCAUUUCUGGACGGAGUAAAGAAGACAACUGCAAUUGCAAUUAUAUUGCGAAUUUCACAUUUCCCUUGACAUUUUGCACGCACGUGUAUAAGUUUUUAAAAACAAUUUUUCAUUCGCACAAUUUUUCCACAGGUCUUUGUCGGUAAAUUUUUAAGACCUCAAACUUUUUCCUCGAGCAUUUUCUUUUUCGCAAUUGCAUUUAAUACGGCCCAUAUAUUCAUACUUUUAAUGCAAAUUAAUGAAUCGGUACCAUUUUCGCUACUGUUGGUACUCUACAAAUUUCCUAGAAUUGCGGCAGAGACAGGUGGCAUAUUGUUGAAUGGCCUUUUUAAUACUUUAUUCUCAUUGUUACGCAAUACUGAUCGCCCUGCGUUUAACACGAAUGACUCACAGUUUAUUUAAUCGUUACUAUGCUGUAACUCGUUUCUAAGUAUUGUUGUGUCUCGAAAGUAUCAUUUUACGCCGAUAACAUAUUUUCCUCAAUUAUACGAAAGACCAACUUGAUCUAAGUCAAGAAUAUAUUCGGAUAUAAGAUAAACAGUGAAAACGUGCAUGAAUUUACGUUAACAAGACAUACCACGAUGAUUUUAAAACCUGGCAUUAAGUAAUUAGCGAUUAAUCAACGAAUCAGCUGAUAUUUUGAAAAAAAUCAGAAAGACAAGAGAAAUUUGCCAUGAAAAAGUGAGAAGUCAAAAUAAUCAAAAAAAAAAUUUUUUUUAAAUCCGCUAAAAAAUUUUCCCUAGAUCAUAAAACCUACCAAGAUACAAUAAAUAAAUAAAAGUCACUAGCAAACAAAAUCAUCAACAAUCCAAAAUAAUUGUCAUAGAGUCAUUCAAAAAUUACCACCAAUAAAACGUACGUGGUCUCCCAUCAAUAAAAUAUUUCACACUGCAACGUCAUCCCAUGGAACACAAGCGCAACGAAACUAUCACGUCGAAUCAUAAUUCUCCUCGUAUUCCCCCGGUGACUCGAGGAUCCAAUGACGUCUCAACGACGACCGGUUCCCCGUUCCGAAGACGACGCCGAAUGGCGCAUCGCAUGUGCAUCGCAUGUGCGCCGUUCAACCUCCUCAACUGAGAAUAACGAUAUACAGGAUCAUCAACGACUCAUAUUUGCUCUCUCCGAGUAACGUGUCAAGUAUUUUCCAGUACGGCAAUGUUAAUCGACCAAGAAACGUCAUCGAAUAUCACCAUAUAUGAACCUGGACCAGAGGACAUUAUUUCUUCGUGUGUUUCUCCUUCUGAACAAAUGUUGCAGGACGGAUUUUUCAAUCGCUAUUAAGUUGGUGGAAAACUCGAUGCCUACUUUUAUAAUGGACACCCUGUAUAUACAGAUAUUGGAAUUGUCAUAUUUAUUACAUCUGGCGCUGUGGACACUGAAGAAGGAAUUACGCAAAACUGCUUUAUCGUCCAGUUCUCGUUGAACCUUAUGUAAGCAACGUUAAUCUUUGGAGGACAUACGGAUUUUUUAACUAGUACAGUUUUUGACUUUGAGUUUUUAAUGCGUAUGCUAAAGUCUGUAGAAAAAAUGUGAUGACUGAUAUAGAGUCGAAAAAUCAUCUACAGGUUAAGUGUACAGUAUAUAUUUUGUGUAUGUACUAAUUUUAAGGCUGCUGAGUUUAGACAAUUAAAUUGUGAAUUGUGAAUAACAAAUUAAAUAUAACUUUUUCAGCUUAGUACCAAAACUUUCUACAAUCUGUAUGCAUUAUAUUAUUAUUUUUUUAAUAAUUAGCAUAGACUGUCGCAAAGACUAAUAUUGCAAACGUAACGGAAUAUUAGAAUAUUUCUUACAAGGAGUCUUCAACAAUCGGAUUUUCGUAAUCUUUUUUACUCAUGGUACAUGAAGUUGAGAAUUCGAAUAGUAAUUUCCCAAAGCAGGUCUAUGUCAUAUUCAAAAAUUCUCAAGAAGGUUGACUUUGAAGUUUUGUGAGUCCGUAUGUACAUCAAAUGUGUCAAAAUAUUUAAGCAGGUCGUUUAGCGCACCCGGUAACGCUCUAGCUUAGCGAGCGCGGGGUCGCUGGUUCGAGUCUCACUUGUACCUUUCUUUUUUCCACCCAAUUCGCAUAAUUACGUCAUUUAAAUAUAAAAGUUACCAAAUCUAUACUAAUUCACAGAUAUAUAAUUGCAAUCUUCAAUGAAAAUCGCACGUUUUAUUUUUAAUUAUCUCGAGCUUCAAAAAUUGCACCUUUGACUGUAAAUAUCAGUGUUUAGCUACCAGUAAUAAUAACAAACAAUAUUUUUAGAGCGGAAAUGAAAAAUGAUGGAAUUCUCUUUACUGUAAAAGCAACAUGAUAAGAAAAGUAAUGGAGUCGAAGUACUGAACGCGCACAAUAUAAUAAAAAAAAAAUUUCUUGAAAAUUUUGUGAGGUGUCUCGCACCCUUUGCGAAGGAACCCCCAAAUAUUGCAGCCAUGACGCCCCUGUCAGAGCUUCGUACUUUCGCCACCAGUCAACGCUCGAGUCAACACCGAAACUUUUUCCAGCCACACAGCAGCCUUAAAGUCUGAUGAGACUUUUGACUCGAUUAUCCGUAAAGAUAAAAAUAGGUUAGUGUAUAGAUGCGUAGAGGACUCGAUUGGACGGAUGAAUUAUAUUGUCAAAAGACAAAAAAUAAAAAUAGAAUUAAUAAAAUGCGGUUACUCGUCAGUGCAAUUAUUAUCGUCUCUUGACACUGGAAAAAUUAAGACCGCAAAAGCUGAUGGAUCGUUUGCAUUAAGUCGCAAAACUUAUUCGGAUCCUUUUUUUUCAAAUUUUCGUUCACUUUUGCCGAGAUAAACGAAUCAAUAAAUAUGCAAAUUUAUUUUUCAUCGAUCACACUAAUUUCCAAGGUUCUUUACAUGGGAUAACCUGGAUACGCCAAAAAUGACGCUGGUCGUUGUAACGUUGAGUCCGGCCGUAGGUCGAUCGCUGUUUUUCGCGAAUAAACAUUUCGCGCUAUCGUUAACACGUUACGUAAGGAACGACACUGGCAACGAUUAGCCCGCUAUCAUUAUUAUUCAUUAUUUGGAUUCACGUGACACGCUGAUUAAGUUACCGAAUCGUUCGCCUUCUCUUAAUUACGCUUGCUGCAAGAGCUGAUUGCGGUUAAGCCGAGUUAACGUGGCAAUUUCAAUUUUUUCGAAUUUUUCAAUGCCUCUCGGCGCGAGACAAAUUGAACGAGUGAAAUUAAAAUUUUGGACGCGAGACCAUUAUUAUUUUUUUUUUUUUUUGUUCGUUCUGCGUGAAAUGGAAUCAAUUUUUCUUUUCGAAUUUUUUAAACCAAAUUAUCAAUAUUUCCGUUUGACGUUCCCAUUGAAAAUAACUAAACCCCGUGUUAAAUUUGCAGCUGUAAAACAAAAAAGUGACACGCGGUUCGUCGAAAACGACCGAACGUAUAAAAGUAAUUGGAUAAUUGAAAUUAAUAGAUAGCGACAUUUCACCGUGGAUUACGAAAUUACCAUGUAAAUAGACAGUCGGAGAUAAUGAAGUAUCGUAGAAUCGGAAAUGGACACUACGCUUGAAUCAUACCAGAUUAUAUACGCAAGGUGUGUACUCAGCUUAAAGAUUGUACGUCGUUACAAGUGAAAUUACAGAGUGCAGAAACACGUGAAUGGAGGCGAUUGAUAAAAGAAAAGAGAUUAAAAAA